UGCUCUGUGCAUUUGUCCUUCCUGUCUGCAUUCCCAUCCUCCCUCCUUCCCUACACCUGGCAGCCUAGCUGGGGCAGUGGCCUCUCUGCGCGUUCUCUGGCCCUGCCUUGUAGAAUGAAGACGGUGGAGCCCCUGGCCCCUCCGGUCCUCCUUGGGGCCCCUCCCCUGGAGAAGCCUCGCGCUCACAGCUGUCUUCCUCAUUAUUCUCAGAAAUGGAAAGCAGGAAGCCACCUUGGUGCCUGUCCCCGAGGGUGGCUAAACCGUACAUGGUGGGGGAGGGAACGUGAGUGACCAGGACUCCUGGCCUGAAGCCAGGCUGCACCAUCGCUGACUGUGUGACCACAGGCAAGAUGCUUUCUUUUCCUUGACUUGUGUGACUCAGUUUCCUCAUGUGCUACCUCCUCCUAUGGUUCCUCUGAGGUUCAGAUGAUGAACCAGUUGGCACCGGGCCUGGCGCGGAGGCCCUGCGUGGUGGGAGCUCUGAUUACCUUCAUUUGAUGAUGGUGAUGCUGUGGCUCUGCCCUCAAGUCUCUGUGCAAACCUCUCCUUGGGGUUAUUUGCCCACAGUGUCUUCCCCAAAGGGCAGUGGGGUCAAGUGGGAUCUUGGCACCCAUUGACAGUUCACUCUGGAGUCAGGGGAAGAAGCCAGUCCCUUCCCAUACACUAGUCUCCAUAGGUCAACUGCAGCGGAGAUGCCUCGUCCACCCAGCUGUUAGGAUUCUGCCGAGGGGACAUCACUGGGCAGCCUCUCAAGGUCUCAUGGACAUUCACCAUGGCAGCUCGGGCUUUGAGCAUUCUGGACGAAUCCUGCUGGGACCCACAUCUCUCAACUACUCUGCGAGCUGCUGUUACCGUGCCGAGCACCUGGAGCUCUCUGGCCAGAGCUGGUACAACAGUGAGGCCUUGUUGUGGGCAGGAUUCCCAGCAGAGCUGCAGAUACAUGACUUGGUGAUAACCCUUACAAACAGUACCAAAGCCCGGGAGGAAUUCUAGGACCCCUCCUGGGUGAAACUGACUCCUCCACCUGAAGCCGGACCAGGGAUCUGCUCUGCCGCAAGGUAAGACUGCUAUUGUCCAUGACCUUUCCCACUGCUUGCCCCGUGGACUCCCUGCUCAUAAUCGCACUUGCAUCAGGGACUCCUUCCCGUCUCACUGUGGGCCCAGGGCCCCGGCCUCAUCUUGAGGACCUGAGUGUAGAGGAGACGUCCCUACACUCUUGUCUUCUCCCCGCGAGGGGUUUCCCAGGGUCAGGAUUCUGAGGGAGACCUCCCCACCUUCCUGAACCCUCUUGUAUCCUCUGGUGUUCGGUGGCGCGGCCCAGGAUGCUGAGCUGCUCUUCCGACCAUCCCUGCAGCAGCGGCCAAGGUUUGGGAAAUCGGAAGUUCCCGUUUGCAAACUUGGGCCCUGCCCCACAGCAGGACCAAACCCCUGGCUUUUACCACUAAAACUUUUAUCUCAAACUAGCCCUUUGGCAUACAAGCUCCCGUCUAUGAGUAACUGUACUUUUGGUUUCUCUUCCUAAUCCCGAGCGAGUGAGUGAGUGAGUUUAUGUGUAGUCCCACGGCCUGACGGCUACAGGGCUUGUGUGGCCUCCACCUGCAGUUCCACGGAGACGUCAUAAGGCAUAACGGUGAUUCGCCUCAGGAAACUGAAGGUGACCAGGCCCGCGGGUUAUACGGGUACACCUUGGCCAAGACGCCCUGAAACAUCCGUUCGGGGACCUGGCCGGGAAGACAUCAGACUGGUCUCCCUCUCAGGGGCAGCCACCCUUUGUCCGUUAAUCCUAUAUGCGGUUCUGUCUUUACUGUAAAUUCGCUAGCUUCGUUAGGCUCCUACUAGCUGAGAUACAGUGGUCCUGGCCUGCUUCCCUCGAAAUAGCAGAUAUUCUGCAGUGGGUAUAACACCUUCCAGUGUCCCCACCUCACCCCUAGUUAACUGCAGAAAUAUGGGUAAUCAGAAAUCUCACCCAGACCCCAAGUCGCCACUAGGAUGUCUAGCCAAAAAUCUACCCAAACUGGGUCUUUCUAUAAAAAAGAAAAGGCUACUCUUCUUCUUCUCCACGGUGGCCUGGCCACAGUACCCUCUGGGCAACCAGUCUCAAUGGCCUCCAGAGGGCACACUCGACUUUAAUGUCCUGAUAGACCUGGAUAACUUUUGCCAAAGGAAUGGCAAGUGGGUGGAAGUUCCCUAUAUUCAGGCUCUUUGGCAUCUCUGCUCCCCACCUGACCUCUGCUCCUCCUGUAAUACUGCCCAGGUGCUCCUAGCAAAAAACUCCCCCCAACUCCCUCCAGCCCCUUCGCCAACCCCUCCUGCUCCUCCUCUUCUGAGUUCCAACCUGACCUCUCCUGUUAGUGCCCGCACUUGCUUGCACUGGGCUUCCAAUGAUGAAACCUCUCUCCUCUGUCCUCUCUGCGAGGUGGCUGGAGAGGAGGGCAUUGUCCGAGUGCAUGUCCCCUUCUCCCUCUCUGAUCUAUCGACCAUUGAAAAGCGCCUAGGGUCAUUCUCCACCAAUCCUGCUGCUUACACCAAAGAAUUUUGUUACCUCACCCAGGUGUACAACCUUACCUGGCAUGACACCUACGUAAUCCUGUACUCUACCCUUACUCCAGAUAAGCGUGACUGCAUUCUCAUAGAGGCCCGAACACACGCUGAUCAGGUACAUAUCACAAACAAAUGCCGGCAGGUGUGGCAGCGGUACCCGAGGCCGACCCUAAUUGGGAUUAUCAAACUGGUCAAGAUGGCCGCCACCACCGAGACCAAAUGCUACAGUGCCUCCUAGCAGGCAUGCAAAGCGCAGCUCGGAAGGUAGUUAAUUAUGACAAGUUAAGGGAAGUAACUCAGGGUCCUGAUAAAAACCCAGCUGCCUUCCUUAACCGAUUAAUUAACACUAUGAUCCUCCAUACCUGGCUGGAUCCGGUCUCCCUAGUGGGGGCUACAGUCCUAGUCACCCACUUCAUCUCCCAGUCAGUGGCUGAUAUAAGGAGGAAACUUAAAAACGCUGAGGAGGGCCCCCAAACUCCCAUGUGGGACCUGGUAAACCUGGCAUUUAAAGUUUUUAAUGGCCGAGAGGAAAAAGCUGAGGCCACCCGUCAGGCCCGGCUGCAGCAGAAAGUAAGCCUCCAAACCUGAGCUCUUGUAGCAGCCCUGAGGCCUGCAGCCUACCGAGCACCCAGUGGAGGGGGCCCAUCGAAACCCUUCCAAAACUCUUUUAAGGCCCCACCUGGGCCCUGUUUUAAAUGUGGCCAGGAGGGACACUGGGAGCGGCAGUGCCCCUGUCCUCGUCAUCCUCCUGGCCCUUGCCCAAGCUGCAAACAAGCUAGACACUGGAAGGUUGACUGCCCAUCCCGGACUACAGGCUCACCCCCCACACCUCUAUGUGAGGGGCAAGCCUGUCCACAGGAAGCAGUCCCUUCACUUGAACUUCUCGGCCUUGUGAAUGACUGAUGGAGCCCAGACUCGAGGACCCCUAUCACCCUCGCCGAGCCCAGGGUAACGCUGCAGGUAGCGGGUAAGUCCAUUUCCUUCUUAGUGCCUACGGGGGCUACCUAUUCUGUAUUGCCUUCCUACUCAGGACCUAGCAUACCUUCCCAGGUUUCAGUCAUGGGAAUUAAUGGAAAGCCUUCCUGUUCUAACCAAACUCAUCCCUUAGCCUGUGUCCUUGAGGGACAUCCCUUCUCCCACUCCUUUCUAAUCAUACCCUCAUGCCCAGUCCCCCUUUUAGGAUGAGAUAUUCUCCAAACUGUGGGGGCCACUCUCCAACUCACUGGCACCCCACACUCAAGCCCAUCACCAGCCCACCUCCUCUUGCCACUCUGAACCGACACCACACCCUGUCUUAACCCUUCGCCUGAACCCCCUAUUCCUCCUGAGGUAGUCAAUCCCUCGGUAUGGGGUACCUCCAAGUCCGUAGUGGCCAGACAUCAUAUGCCAGUUAAGAUACUUCUAAAAAAAAUCCUACCCACUUCCCCUCACAUCCUGUUUUCCAUCUCAAAAACCCACCGUCAGGGCCUAAAGCCUAUCAUUACCCGACUCCUAGCCCAAGGACUCCUAAUCCCCACCAGUUCCCCCUGUAAUACUCCUAUCUUGCCAGUCCAGAAGCCAUCCGGUGACUACCGCCUAGUUCAGGACCUACGCCUUAUCAACGAGGCAGUGGUACCCGUCCACCCUGCGGUCCCCAACCCAUAUACCCUAUUAUCCAGCAUUCCCUCCACUACCUCCCAUUUUAGUUCUUGACCUCAAGGAUGCCUUCUUUACCAUUCUCCUACAGCCUGAGUCUUACUUUCUCUUUGCCUUCACCAGGACUGAUCCAGACACCAACCUGUCGCAACAGCUCACCUGGACGGUCCUGCCCCAGGGAUUCAGAGACGGCCCCUGUAUUUUCAGACAAGCCUUGGCAGCUGAUCUUAGCUCCUGUCCCCUUCAGCCCAGUCUCCUUCUUCAGCCCUAUCACUGCCCAAAGAAGUCGCUGUCAUCCACCGCCGAGGGCACCAGGCCCAGCAGAUAUCUUUCUUGGAUGGAUUGAAGCCUUUCCCACCUCCAGGGAAACCGCGGACAAGGUGGCCUCCCUCUUGACUCAGGAAAUCAUCCCUCGUUUCGGCUUACCUGCAAACAUCCAGUCAGACAACGGUCCAGCAUUUACAACUCAGGUGGUCCAGCUGGUCACCAAGUCUCUCAACAUCUCCUGGAAACUACACAUCCCCUACCACCCUCAGUCACUGGCUAAAGUGGAAAGGGCUCACGGCAUCCUCAAAGGUCAUUUAGCCAAACUUACCAUCGAGGUAAAACCCUCUUGGCCCAUACUCCUGCCCCUUGCCCUGGCCUGGGUCCGAGCCACGACAUGGGGACCAACGGGCCUCAGCCCCUUUGAAUGGCUGUACUGAAGACCUUUCCUGGUCUCUCAUAAUCUCCCGAUACAACCACCUCCUCGAGCCUCCUCCUUCCCCUACCUCUCUCUCCUCCGCCACUUACUUAGGGAACAUGCGGAUCAUGCUCUCCCCAUUGUCCCGGGACCAGAGGACCCCCAUCCAGCGGCACUCCUCCAGCCAGGUGACAGUGUUCUCCUCCGGGAGCUCAAACCAGGAUCUCUACAGCCUAGGGAUCUUGGACGGAAGGCGCCACCACUAGAACCCAAUACAUUGCUGCUAUUACAUCAACGAAACCAGUCUAGUAGAAGAGAAUGUCAGCACUCUCUAUCACCUCCAAGACGACCUCCGAAGAAAACAAAAUGUACCAGGCUCUUCUCUUACCUGGUGGCAUUCCCCCAUGCUCACCUGGCUGGCUCCUAUUAUCAUCCCCAUUAUCAUUGUUUGUCUUUUGCUAAUGCUAGCCCUUUUUGUCCUCAGGUUUCUAUAAGCUCGUAUAAGGGAAUUUUCCAGGGUGGCCGUAAACCAGAUGCUGCUUCACCUCUAUGUCCAACUCCCAACCGAGGCACCAGCCAACUGACCCUUCCCCCUCACUCCACCCCUAUUCAGCAGGAAGUAGCCAGAAAGAAGCGGAGUCUUAUAUCAUCAAAAGGGUCGGAAUAUAAGGCCAGUUGUCUCGCCAGGAGCUUGGACACACCCACUUCUGCACUUGGCACCUAGCCUGCCUUGGAAAACCCCUCUGCACUCAGCACUAAGCUCUGCACUCAGCAACUAGCCUGCCAUUGGAAAAUCCCGCCUACCUACCAAUAGCAGCCUGCCCCAAUCACGCCGUUUCCCUGCAACCAAACACCUUCACUCCCUAUAAAACCCCAUGCCCAGAAGAGUCAGGUGUGACUUCCCUGGCCUCUUUCCCCGGGACCACAGAACCUCACCCGG